rnacentral:misc_RNA from 1 species
GAUGAAGAACGUAGCGAAAUGCGAUAAGUAAUGCGAAUUGCAGAAUUCAGUGAAUCAUCGAAUCUUUGAACGCACAUUGCGCCCGCUAGUAUUCUGGCGGGCAUGCCUGUCUGAGCGUCAUUUCAACCCUCGCCCCCGGCUUUUGCUGGGAGCGGUGUUGGGGAUCGGCCGCCCGUCACUGGGAGGCCGGCCCCGAAAUAGAGUGGCGACCACGCCGUGUGCUCCUCUGCGUAGUAGUAAAUCACCUCGCAGGCGGACAGCGGUGCGGCCUGCCGUAAAACCCCCAACUCUUACUGGUUGACCUCAGAUCAGGUAGGAAUACCCGCUGAACUUAAGCAUAUCAAUAAGCGGAGGA